UUACGGCCAUAUCACAUCGAAACAUCAGUACCCGUAUGAUCACCGAAGUUAAGCAACGUCGAUCCUGGUCAUCACCUAGAUGGGUAACCGCUUAGGAAUACAAGGUGCUGUAA